AUUGAACGCUGGCGGCAGGCCUAACACAUGCAAGUCGAGCGGAGCGGCGGACGGGUGAGUAAUGACUAGGAAUCGGCCUGGCAGUGGGGGAUAAAGUCCGGAAACGGGAGCUAAAACCGAAUACUAUCAGCAGAGCCUAGGGCGGAUUGGCUAGUUGGUGGGGUAAAGGCCGACCAGGGCGACGAUCCGUAACUGGUCUGUGUGUAUGAUCAGUCACAAGGGAACUGUGACACGGUCCAGACUCCUACGGGAGGCAGCAGUGGGAAAUAUUGUGCAAUGGGCGAAAGCCUGAUGCAGCCAUGCCGCGUGAAUGAAGAAGGUCUUCGGAUUGUAAAGCACUUUCAGUUGGGAGGCGUUACCAACAGAAUAAGCACCGGCUAACUUCGUGCCAGCAGCCGCGGUAAUAC
rnacentral:rRNA from 1 species